UUACUCAUAAUAAUUCUGUUGUAUCGAAUCGAACACACCUCUUUCCAACCGCAAUAAUGUGACGCUGCAGUGUUCCAUUUACAAAAAUAUCAUUUCCGAAAACGCGACUGUCGAUUUUUUUUGUUUUCAGCAUUGAGAAGAAGGCCAUCAAAAAUGCUAUUAGUUUGCCUAUUUAACCGAAUUCGUAGCAUCAAUAAUAACGAAGUUGACAAUGGUUCCGUCUCAAUUUGGAACACCCGGUAUAACAGGUCGGUUAUAAGCUACCUCCACCGUAAGAAGAAUUAUGUUUUCGUCAAAUAAUGGUAAUACGACGUUCUGGUCAGAAACACCUACAUAUAACAACCAGUCGGUAAUAUGCUACCUCAACCGUAAGAAGAAUUACGUUUCGGCCAGCAUGCCAUGGAAUGGUAAAUACAACGUUCUGGCUAGAAUUAUCUAUAUAAAACAACCAGUCGGAAUAUUUUGCUGUAUCAUUCGGUAACCGAAGUCAGUAUUAAUUGAUGUUGGAUUUAUGUCCGAAGUAAAAGCUCAAAAGUAAUUAGUCAACCGUCAUAACCCAAGUGAAACUUUGAAGGAUUCCGCACGUUCGGUAAUUUUCUGCAAAUCGCCAGUGUGCUGUGAAACUAAUUGCAAUAUCGAAAAUGUUGACAGAAAUCAACUGCAAAACUACCAAUUUUAGGUAUGUACCUAAGAAAUUA